CAUAGCUUAAGAUUACAUACAUUUAAAAUGCAACAUUUAAAGCUUUCCUUAGUCAAAAUCCCAAUAGCCUGCUCUACAGAACAUUCAAAGCCUCUAAAUAUCCAAAUACACAGACCUCCAACUCAAUCACAAAAAAAAAAAACAUAACAAGCUGAAAGCUUAAACCAUACUUUGAAGAUGAAAUACCAGAAUAUCAACAUAACUAAAGGGAACAGACAUGAAAGAGUUGAAAUUAAUACAUAGAUAUGGAAAAAUUCUAAAGAACAUAGAUUAAUGUUCAGCAAAAUUGAAUUUCAUUCUCAAAUCCUCCAACUUGGUUACACAUUUCAGGUUUGCACUUCAUAGGUCACUUAAGAGCCAAGGAAUACCUGGAAGUCAAAGUAAACAAUAUAAGGUUAGGAUUUCAGCUACAACAGUAAAUCAGCAUAUUAACCCAGCAAAUUCAACUUUUUUCAAACCAUUUUUAACCCUAGACAAAGUAGAGAUGCUUUGAAGCUUUUAAACUCUUCCAACAAUGAAAAUCAAAAGGCAAUUUCAAGCAACUUCCAACCCAAACGAAUGCAGAAAACUUGAGUGUUUUUUCAGAGUAUAUCUCUCAGCCGUUUAUAAUUUUUAUUAUUG
rnacentral:lncRNA from 1 species